UUUGAUGGAAUUUUUAGGAGGGUAGAUGUACGGUGUUCACCGUACAGUGAUACGCAACCCAGACGCAACCCAUUCGAAAAUAUGCUUGGGGAGAGCACAAGGUUUUCCUUGUUGUUCUUUUUCGUGCGUAUUUUUUAAGCUGGUUCCUUACAUCUGUUCGUCCAGCUUCAAAAAAAAUAAUCGAACGAUGUUUACUCUACCCUCUUAUUUU
rnacentral:telomerase_RNA from 1 species